CCUACGGGAGGCAGCAGUGGGAAAUAUUGGACAAUGGGGGCAACCCUGAUCCAGCCAUGCCGCGUGUGUGAAGAAGGCCCUCGGGUUGUAAAGCACUUUCAGUGAGGAAGAACGCCUGGUGGUUAAUACCCAUCAGGAAAGACAUCACUCACAGAAGAAGCACCGGCUAACUCCGUGCCAGCAGCCGCGGUAAUACGGAGGGUGCGAGCGUUAAUCGGAAUUACUGGGCGUAAAGCGCGCGUAGGUGGCUUGAUAAGCCGGUUGUGAAAGCCCCGGGCUCAACCUGGGAACGGCAUCCGGAACUGUCAAGCUAGAGUGCAGGAGAGGAAGGUAGAAUUCCCGGUGUAGCGGUGAAAUGCGUAGAGAUCGGGAGGAAUACCAGUGGCGAAGGCGGCCUUCUGGACUGACACUGACACUGAGGUGCGAAAGCGUGGGUAGCAAACAGGAUUAGAUACCCUAGUAGUC
rnacentral:rRNA from 1 species